rnacentral:rRNA from 1 species
UACGUAGGGGGCGAGCGUUGUCCGGAGUUAUUGGGCGUAAAGGGCGCGCAGGCGGUCUGGUAAGUUUGGAGUGACAGUGCUCGGCUUAACUGAGCAAGGCCUUCGAAAACUGUCAGACUUGAGCACUCAAGAGGGACAUAGAAUUCCGGGUGGAGUGGUGAAAUGCGUAGAUAUCCGGAGGAAUACCAGAGGCGAAGGCAGUGUCCUGGGGAGUGUCUGACGCUCAGGCGCGAAAGCGAGGGGAGCGAACAGG